rnacentral:rRNA from 1 species
AGCGAAAUUUAGUAGCGAAGUAGCUGAUUUCACACUGUCAAGAAAAGUCUCUAUCGAGGUUAAAGGUACCCGUACCGCAAGCCGACGCAGGUGAGUGGGGGGAGUAGCCUAAGGCCAGCGAGAGGAAUGUUGUUAAGGUGCUCGGCAAAAUGACCCCGGAGCUUAGGGAUAAGGGGUGCCACCAUCAGGUGGCCGCAGAGAAUAGGCCCAAGCGACUGUUUACCAAAAACAUAGG